AAGAUCAGUUGAUUACUUUCUUCGCAUUUGUUAUGAAAUACUAGUCUUCCAUUAUGUUGAUAUACCUGGAACACCUUCAUCUUGCUAGCAUCGAAUGCCAGGAGAUCUGCUUGCCUAAGCUUUCAGCUGACAUUGGGUUUCAAGGAACAUCCUGACCUGAUGAUUGGUUGCAAAACCAAGGGAAAUGCUACAAGUUUGACAUAAGCUUUAAGUCGUGGAUUGAUAGUGAAAUAUCCUGCGCAGUCAAGAAAUCACAUCUCUUUGUGAUCAAAGACAAGGGAGAAUUGGUUUGGACAAAAAGAAAUCAGAAGUGUUUUCAUAGCUGAUGCUCAGCUGCUUUCCUGGGUCUUCCUUCUCAGGAUUUCAUCCAGAGUAAAAUUCAUGAUGGAGCGUACUUUUGGAUUGGGUUGAACAUUACAGACCCACAGGAAGCAUGGGCCUGGCUUGACUGCACACCUUUAUGCCCACAGUUGUGAGUGCGUGGUAUUUGUACAUGACUAGGGAAAUGUAAGACCUCCAGAGACCACCCCCUACUGGUAGCUCUGGGGAACUUCAAGUGGUCAGAUGACUGCAGGACGGAAGAGUUUGAUACCUGCUAAUAAGUGAAGGUUCAUAAAAUCUGUCUUAGAGAACUACAGGAU